GAUUCUUCCAUAUCCCCGACCCUUAGGGGAGUUUCUGGUUUUUCUCUCGCAACCCUCGUGUCGGUUCUGUCAACCUAUUAGCGUUGCUAAUCACGGCUGUCACAUCAAGAUUGUGAGAGAGGAAGAUCAAUAAAUUUUAGGUCUGUAAAUGAAUAUCCGAAAUUCGAAUUCGAAUUCGGAUAUCAAUUUUGAUAUCCUUGAUAUCCGGAUUUAAACGAACCGAAUUCGGUUAUCAGGGUAUCCGGUUCGUUUAAAUUAAAUAUUUAUAUUAUUAUAAAAUAUAAAUUUACAUAUAUAACCUUUAAAUGUUAUAAUUUAUAAAUUUAUAUAUAACUUGGUAAUAUUAUUUACUAUUGAGGAUAUAUUUAUAAAAUUUUAAAAAUAUUUUUUAAGUUUUAUUUUUUAAUUACAGUAUAUAUUUGUUAUUAUUUUUGAAUUUUAUAAAUAUUUUUUUUUAAUAAAUAUAUUUUUUUAAUAAAUAUUAUUAAAUAAACGAAUUCGAAUUCGUAUAUCAAAAUUCAAAUUCGGAUAUCAAAAUUCAAAUUCGGAUAGUAAACGAACCGAAUUCGGAUAUCCGGAUAUUAAACGAAUUCGAAUUCGGAUAUGAUGGUAUUCGGUUCGAAUUCGGUUCAUUUACAGGCCUAAUAAAUUUAUUAUGACCGGAGAUUUCUAAAAAAUUCUCCCCGUGCCGUCAGAUUAGGCAUGUAUAUCGGUCAAAUUCGACUCGGAUAUCUUGGUAUCCAAAUUCGGAUAAUAUCCAGAUAAUCCGAAUCUGUCCGAAUAAUAUCCAGAUAAUCCGAAUCCGUCCGAAUAAUAUCCGGAUAGAAAAAUCCGAAUCCAGGUAACUUUUUAUAAAAACCUUAAAAUAAAAUUAUAAAAGUAUAAAAUCAUUUUUAAUAAAGUUAAUUAAUCAUCUUAAAAUCUCGAUAUCCAAGAAGUUAAUUUAUAUUUAUUCGGAUAUCCGAAUUUUAAAAUGAUUAAUUGACUAUUAUUAUCUAGAUAUUCGAAAUUAUCAACCGAAUUUAGAUUUUAACGACGGAUAUUGCAGAUAUUCGAAUCCGUCUCGGAUAUCAUUUUUGGUAUCCGAAUUCAGAUCCGAAAUUCGAAAAUCCUAUUUGAAUUCGAAAAUGGAUACAAAUUUCGUUAUACCAUUUACAUUCUUACGUCCGACAAUUACAUGUGACAAUAACAUAUUAACGGCCGAGCCCCUAAAAACGGGCCGUCUCUACAUGAAGCCCAUCAACCAUCUGGCACGUCUUGUUUUUUCCUUUUGGUGCCAGCUGUCAAUGAGGGUCAACACGUACCAGAUUCACCAAGUUAACUGCAGUCACAAAUACAUAUAUAAACUCACGGGAUAAGAGAGUGGAACGGAUUGUAAAUGAGGUGAGGCCAUCGUCGUUGCGGGCAAUUGAAACAAACCCUACAAGAUCUAAUCGAAGAUCAUCGAAUUGGCGGAGCUUUUCGAUCCGUUUCGGUUUUG
rnacentral:lncRNA from 1 species